rnacentral:rRNA from 1 species
AUUGAACGCUGGCGGCAGGCCUAACACAUGCCAGUCGAACGGUAACAGGAAGAAGCUUGCUUCUUUGCUGACGAGUGGCGGACGGGUGAGUAAUGUCUGGGAAACUGCCUGAUGGAGGGGGAUAACUACUGGAAACGGUAGCUAAUACCGCAUAACGUCGCAAAACCAAAGAGGGGGACCUUCGGGCCUCUUGCCAUCGGAUGUGCCCAGAUGGGAUUAGCUAGUAGGUGGGGUAACGGCUCACCUAGGCGACGAUCCCUAGCUGGUCUGAGAGGAUGACCAGCCACACUGGAACUGAGACACGGUCCAGACUCCUACGGGAGGCAGCAGUGGGGAAUAUUGCACAAUGGGCGCAAGCCUGAUGCAGCCAUGCCGCGUGUAUGAAGAAGGCCUUCGGGUUGUAAAGUACUUUCAGCGGGGAGGAAGGGAGUAAAGUUAAUACCUUUGCUCAUUGACGUUACCCGCAGAAGAAGCACCGGCUAACUCCGUG